CUGGGACGUGAGGAGCGCCUCUGCCCGGCUGCGACCCCGUCUGGGAGGGUUCAAUGGAUUAAGGGCGGUGCAAGAUGUGCUUUGUUAAACAGAUGCUUGAAGGCAGCAUGCUCGUUAAGAGUCAUCACCACUCCCUAAUCUCAAGUACCCAGGGACACAAACACCUCGGAAGGCCGCAGGGUCCUCUGCCUAGGAAAACCAGAGACCUUUGUUCACUUGUUUAUCUGCUGACCUUCCCUCCACUAUUGUCCUAUGACCCUGCCAAAUCCCCCUCUGUGAGAAACACCCAAGAAUGAUCAAUAAAAAAAUAAAUAAAUAAAAAAUAAAAAAUAAAAAAAA
rnacentral:lncRNA from 1 species